GAUGAAGACGUAGCGAAAUGCGAUAAGUAAUGUGAAUUGCAGAAUUCAGUGAAUCAUCGAAUCUUUGAACGCACAUUGCGCCCGCCAGUAUUCUGGCGGGCAUGCCUGUUCGAGCGUCAUUACAACCCUCAGGCCCCCGGGCCUGGCGUUGGGGAUCGGCGGAGCCCCCCGUGGGCACACGCCGUCCCCCAAAUGCAGUGGCGGUCCCGCCGCAGCUUCCAUCGCGUAGUAGCUAACACCUCGCGACUGGAGAGCGGCGCGGCCACGCCGUAAAACACCCAACUCUUCUGAAGUUGACCUCGAAUCAAGUAGGAAUACCCGCUGAACUUAAGCAUAUCAAUAAGCGGAGGA
rnacentral:misc_RNA from 1 species